rnacentral:rRNA from 1 species
ACAUGCAAGUCGUGACGGAUGUAGCGGGAGCUUGCUCCUGGAUUCAGCGGCGGACGGGUGAGUAAUGCCUAGGAAUCUGCCUGGUAGUGGGGGAUAACGUCCGGAAACGGGCGCUAAUACCGCAUACGUCCUGAGGGAGAAAGUGGGGGAUCUUCGGACCUCACGCUAUCAGAUGAGCCUAGGUCGGAUUAGCUAGUUGGUGGGGUAAAGGCCUACCAAGGCGACGAUCCGUAACUGGUCUGAGAGGAUGAUCAGUCACACUGGAACUGAGACACGGUCCAGACUCCUACGGGAGGCAGCAGUGGGGAAUAUUGGACAAUGGGCGAAAGCCUGAUCCAGCCAUGCCGCGUGUGUGAAGAAGGUCUUCGGAUUGUAAAGCACUUUAAGUUGGGAGGAAGGGCAGUAAGUUAAUACCUUGCUGUUUUGACGUUACCAACAGAAUAAGCACCGGCUAACUUCGUGCCAGCAGCCGCGGUAAUACGAAGGGUGCAAGCGUUAAUCGGAAUUACUGGGCGUAAAGCGCGCGUAGGUGGUUCAGCAAGUUGGAUGUGAAAUCCCCGGGCUCAACCUGGGAACUGCAUCCAAAACUACUGAGCUAGAGUACGGUAGAGGGUGGUGGAAUUUCCUGUGUAGCGGUGAAAUGCGUAGAUAUAGGAAGGAACACCAGUGGCGAAGGCGACCACCUGGACUGAUACUGACACUGAGGUGCGAAAGCGUGGGGGAGCAAACAGGAUUAGAUACCCUGGUAGUCCACGCCGUAAACGAUGUCGACUAGCCGUUGGGAUCCUUGAGAUCUUAGUGGCGCAGCUAACGCGAUAAGUCGACCGCCUGGGGAGUACGGCCGCAAGGUUAAAACUCAAAUGAAUUGACGGGGGCCCGCACAAGCGGUGGAGCAUGUGGUUUAAUUCGAAGCAACGCGAAGAACCUUACCUGGCCUUGACAUGCUGAGAACUUUCCAGAGAUGGAUUGGUGCCUUCGGGAACUCAGACACAGGUGCUGCAUGGCUGUCGUCAGCUCGUGUCGUGAGAUGUUGGGUUAAGUCCCGUAACGAGCGCAACCCUUGUCCUUAGUUACCAGCACCUCGGGUGGGCACUCUAAGGAGACUGCCGGUGACAAACCGGAGGAAGGUGGGGAUGACGUCAAGUCAUCAUGGCCCUUACGGCCAGGGCUACACACGUGCUACAAUGGUCGGUACAAAGGGUUGCCAAGCCGCGAGGUGGAGCUAAUCCCAUAAAACCGAUCGUAGUCCGGAUCGCAGUCUGCAACUCGACUGCGUGAAGUCGGAAUCGCUAGUAAUCGUGAAUCAGAAUGUCACGGUGAAUACGUUCCCGGGCCUUGUACACACCGCCCGUCACACCAUGGGAGUGGGUUGCUCCAGAAGUAGCUAGU